UAGGGAAUAUUGCACAAUGGGGGAAACCCUGAUGCAGCUACGCCGCGUGAAGGAUGAAGUAUUUCGGUAUGUAAACUUCUAUCAGCAAGGAAGAAAAUGACGGUACUUGACUAAGAAGCCCCGGCUAAAUACGUGCCAGCAGCCGCGGUAAUACGUAUGGGCCAAGCGUUAUCCGGAUUUACUGGGUGUAAAGGGAGCGGAGGCGGUACGGCAAGUCAGAAGUGAAAGCCUGGGGCUCAACCCCGGAAUUGCUUUUGAAACUGUCGAACUAGAGUGUCGGAGGGGUAAGCGGAAUUCCUAGUGUAGCGGUGAAAUGCGUAGAUAUUAGGAGGAACACCGGUGGCGAAGGCGGCUUACUGGACGACCACUGACGCUGAGGCUCGAAAGCGUGGGGAGCAAACAGG
rnacentral:rRNA from 1 species